AUUGAACCCAGGGGCACUUAAGCCACUGAGCCACAUCCCCACUCUUUCUUUAUCCUUUGUUUUUGAGACGGGGUUUUGCUAAAUUGCUUAGGGCCUCGCUAAGUUGCUGAGACUGGCUUUGAACUCUUGAUCCUCCUGUAUCAGCCUCCUAACCGCGUCCAGCCCCAAGAUAUUAGUUUUAAAUGAGUUUUACUUUUGGAAAUAGUUUUUAUUUAAUCUCCAACCAGAACAUCCCCAUGCAUUAAGCAAAUGUGCAUUUAUGUGUAGCAUGUCAUUUACUCCAUUCACCAGUAGCUUAAUGCUCUUGGGGAUUUCCAACCACCUCCCAGGAGGGCUCUGCAGGCCCUAGAUAGGGGUGGUCCAUAGACAGAUGAACCCCUGGUCGCUCAGAAUCCUCCCAACCCUGUGUCCUAUAAUUAAUUCUAUGACCAGAAAAAAUGAAGUUGAUAUCUUGUACCUCUCCCAUCUCAUGAGGUUUGCUAAGAAUCAGAAAAUGGAUGUGAAGGGUCCUGAAAAUUACAUGGUACCGUGUUCAUGGAGGAUUUUUUUUUUUUUUUUGGUACCAGGGAUUGAACUCAGGUGCCCUUUACACUGAGCCACAUCCAUGGCUCUCCCCCCUUUUAAAAAAAAAUUUGAGACAAGGUCUUGCUAAAUUGCUCAGGGCAUCACUUAGUUGCUGAGGCUGUCCUCAAACUUGUAAUCCUCCUGCCUCAGCCUCCUGAGCUGCUGAGAUGUUAUUUUAUUAUAGCUACAUGUGAGUAAUUUCCAGGAAGGGAAGGGCUUUGAAUUGGACUGAGAUGGACAGUUACCCAGGUGUGCACUGCUCAAGAGGACCAGACCCCAGGAGGUACUGUUCACAGCCGGAGCCUGCGGAUUUAUAGAUUCAUGAUGACAGUUUUUCAGCGGAUGGAAGUGAAAUGUCUUGUAAGGGGCUUGUUUUGUAUUUGCACAAUGAUGAAGUGUGGGGUGCUAGAGGCUCCUCAUCCCACACAACUGAACAGAUCCAAAGCUUGAGUCCCAUGGAUCAUUUGCUUCACAUCCAUAUCUCCCUGCAGGCCUGACAGGGCUGCAAACAGAGACCAUAUGACUCCCUUGGAUAUUGCCUGGAACACGUGGCCAUGGGGAGAGGACACUAAAACCUGGACAGCAAACUUGGUGGAUCAAAUAGCC
rnacentral:lncRNA from 1 species